GCGCCGCCCACUAGCGAAGGUCAAGGCCGCUGAUUAGACGCGCCUUCCGGAAACGAGAGGGCGGGUCGCGCGUGAACAGUCUCUAGCCGUAGGGAGUGGGCGCCGGGCGGAGGCCGGGCGGGCGCCGAUCUCCCAGGCCUGUGCGCGGGAGGUACUGCGCGUUCGCCGAGGGCCGGGGCGCGCCCCGGGGCGCGGUGGUUUCCGGCGAUUCCACCGCGGUGCGAGAGGGGUCCCAGGAUGUGACUGGAGGGGCCUGCGGUGGCUUGCGGACGAUGCUCGCCCUCCUGGGCGCGACAGCCCUGGUGCUGGUCGCCUGGACUCCACGGGUGUUGCCCGCAGCCGGAGGUGGAAUAAAUCUAAACUGCUCUCAAAAUUUAGAGGUCAACAUCAUAGAUGACAGUGUUACGCUAAAGUGGAACAGGAGCCAUGAGUCCGUCAGGAACACGACUUUUUCAGCAGAUUAUAAAAUACCUGAGACGGAUAAUUGGAUAAGAUUGCCUGAGUGUCAGCAUGUCACAGGUACCGAAUGCAGCUUUCCUUUACCCCCAGUGAAUGUUUUUGAAGAAACCAAAUUUCGUGUAAAAGCAGAACAAGGAAACACUUCAUGGUGUGAGGCUAUUUCCCUUAUACCAUUUGCAAAAGUUCAAAUUGGUCCUCCUGGAGUACGUUUAGAAGCUGAAGAUAAAGCAAUAAUAGUAAACCUCUCUUCUCCUGGAACAAAAGAUAGUAUCAUGUGGGCUUUGGAGAGUUCAAGCUUUCUAUAUAGCUUAGUUAUCUGGAACAAUUCAAGUGUAGAGGAAAGGACUGAAACUGUUUAUCCCAGAGAUAAAAUUUAUAAACUCUCACCAGAGACUACUUAUUGUUUAAAAGUUAAGGCAAAAAUACUUGCGCCACGGAAAGUUGGGGUGUACAGUCCAGUGUAUUGUAUAAAUACCACAGUUGAAAAUAAACUGCUUCGACCAGAAAAUUUAGAUGUCAGUGUUAAAAACCAGAGAUAUGUUCUUAAAUGGGAUCAUGCAUUUGCAAACGUGACCUUUCGAGUUCAGUGGCUCCAUGCCUUUUCCAAAAGGAAUCCUGAGAGUCAUUCAUAUAAAUGGAAACAAAUAACUGACUGUGAAAACCUCAAAACUACCCACUGUGUCUUUCCUCCAAAUCUUUUCCCAAGAGGAAAUUACUAUCUCCGUGUACAAGCAUCUGAUGGAAAUAGCACAUCCUUUUGGUCUGAAGAGACAAAAUUUAACCCUGAACGAAUACCUAUCAUACAUCCUCCAGUCAUCAACGUGAAAUCCACUAGUGAUUCGCUGCACAUCUACAUAGGUGCUCCAGAAGAAUCUGAAAACAAGCCCAUGAGCCAGCAUCUCCCACUAAGCUAUGAAAUUAUUCUUUGGAAAAACACUUCACAUGCUGAGAGAAACAUUCUAGAGGACAAAAGUGAUUUUACUAUUCCUGACUUGCAACCGCUGACUACAUAUUGUCUCAAAGCCAGAGCACACCUUGUGGAUAAAAAACAAAAGGAAAGCAGUAUUUUUAGUGAUGUUGUGUGCGAGAAAACAAAACCAGGAAAUACUUCCAAGAGCUGGCUGAUAGCUGGCAUUUGCAUUGCGUUAUUUGCUCUCCCGGCUGUUAUGUACAUUGGGAAAGUCCUCCUGAAAGGCAUCAGUUAUGUGUUCUUCCCAUCAGUUAAACCUUCCUCCACCAUAGAUAAGUAUUUCUGUGAACGGCCACUAGAGAAUCUUCUGCUUUCGACUUGUGAGGAACAAACUGAAAAAUGUUUUAUAAUUAAAAAUGAAAACACAGUUAUUACGGUAGAAGAAACUGAUCAAAUUGAUGGUGAUUACAAAGCAUAUAGUUCCCAAUCUAGUCAAGAUUCAGGAAACUAUUCUAAUGAAGAUGAAAACAGUGGAAGUAAACUAAGUGAAGAUCAUCUAGACCAGGAAACGGUAUGACCCGAAGUGAACUCCAUAAGGUAUGAGGUCAUUUCACGGGAGUUACACUGGGAACCCGAGCUCCUUGUUUCCCUCAGUAACUGUGAAGAGGAAAUUUGCUUGUUGGGGAAGAAAAGUCAUCUUCGUAUCAUAGGUCCUAACAACACAGGCAAGCACUUACCUAUUUAAAAAUGAAAUUACAGGUGUUGGGAGAGAAGUACCCAACAUUCUUUUCCAUGUGUAGAAUCUUGAAAGACCUGUCAUUGGACUUGUCUUUGAUGAGAUAAGUCAAACAAGAAGAUGGCCUCCCCGUCUCUCUCCUGAAAGCUCAGCCCCAUGGUGCUAGCUGUAGCUCAUGACGGUUUUCGUGUUCCUGUCAGUCCCCCUCACAGAGGCUACAGACUGCGGCGGGCGUCAGCUGUUUGUCUUCAUUCCCAGUAUUACCGUGCUGCUUUCUCAGAAGAUAUUUAGAAAUCUCAUCUUUUCUUUUAAUACUGAUGGAAGCCCUUUGGAAAUUUAUUUAGGCCAGUCUUGACACCGUGAUCCUUUGGUUUUCUGGAGUAGCUUACCCAAGAAAACAGCCAGAAACAUGAUCCUUAAAAAUGUUCAGGGAAUUCUUCCCAUUUACCCCUAAACCACUGGCUUCUACACCAUAGUUACUUGUCCUUUACAUGGUCUGGGAUGAAAACCAGGUAAUCUUUUACUAAGCAUUAACACUUACUGAUUCAUAACUUACUAGAACAAUAGCUUCUGAUUAGAAUUUGCAAUUACUAAAGUCAUAGAAAAUGGCUAACUAGAGAAGUCACUGUUUUAAGAUCUGAGAGUAUUACUCCCAGGUUACAGGUUAGUCACAGUGUAUGCAAGAAAUCUUGGGACCAGAAAAUGCCAGUGAGAGACAGAAGCAGAAUAUUUCAGUAGGAAAGAAGCAAGGACUUUGGUGAAAAAAAUAAGAAUUUUUACCAGAGGUAUUUGCAGCACUUCCAGGCCAGUGUUAAAAGGUGCAUCAGCGUGGACAUCCUGAAGCACCUUUCUCUCUCAGAGAAAGGACAACACCAGCAUUGACAUUGACAGACACCGGUGAAGUUGUCGGGGCCCUAAGAUGCACGAACACCUGUCGUGAAGUUCUGAGACCAUCUGUGGUUUUCACCAAACAAGCACCUGCUUAGCAGCAACAGCAAAAAACAAGAAGACUUUAUUUUUGCCUUGUCAUCUAGACAUGAAAAGGCAGCUCCAUCUCUUCCUUCAUUGUUCUACAUUUUGCUUAAUCAGAUGUGCUUAGUCAUGAGAUAAGUUGUUUUUUUUUUUCCUGAACAAUAGUUUACUUAGAAAUACCAUGCACGGGCGGCGCCUAUGGCUCAGUCGGGCGCCAGCCCUAUAUACCGAGGGUGGUGAGUUCAAACCUGGCCCCGGCCAAACUGCAAGAAAAAAAUAGCCAGGCAUUGUGGCAGGCGUCUGUAGUCCUAGCUACUUGGGAGGCUGAGGCAAGAGAAUCGCCUAAGCCCAGGAGUUGGAGGUUGCUGUGAGCUGUGAUGCCACAGAACUCAACUGAGGGCGAUAAAGUGAGACUCUUAUCUCUAAAAAAGAAAAAAAAAAAGAUGCUCAGACUGUGUGCCACUCCCUGGGGCUGGCUUAGCCCCACAUCACUUAGCCUGUUUGGCUGUAGUUUCCUCUUAUAUAAAAUGAGAUGGCUGAGUAAUAGCUUGGAACCUGCAGGAAGGAGCAGAUAGGAGGAAUCCCAAGCUCCUUUCCCCAUUUUGACCAGAGAAUCUGUACUCUGGGCUUCCAUGAACAAAAGAUUCAAGGAUGAAAAUAACUCUGAAAGCCACCGAUAUGAUCUUGAUUCUACCUGUGAAUCUGUGCGUUGUGGGUCUCCAAGAUCCACUCCUAGCUUUGCUCAAAGGACUCACAGGACUCAACGCAAAACCAUCCUCAUGACUAUGACUAUGACAGGACACAGCAAAAUCAGCAGAGGGAAGAGGCACAUGGAGCAAAGCCCAGAGGAGUCCAGGGACAAGCUUACAAGCUUCCUCUCCCAGUAGAGUCACACAGAUGUACUCAAUUCCUCCAACAAGCCGUGACAGCACAUGGGAACUAUUGUCCACCAGGGAAGCUCAUUUGAGACUCAGUGGCCAGAUUUUCAUUAGGAGCCGAUCACGGUGGCACCUUCUGUCUAGUGUAUACCACAGUGCAGAUGUUCAGCAUAAAUAAACCAUGUUGUUUGUAUAAACAUUCUAGGUAUGAUAAGCCACCUUUGCCAGUUUGGGAAUGAACUUGAAAUCCAAGUUCCCAGAUGCCAGCCCAGGACUGACCUAGAAAGCAGACGCUUCAAAGAGCAGCAGCCUCAGGCCUGCUACAUUAGCUGUUCUACGCAGUCUGUGAUUCUAAAUGUUUCAGAAAUUCCAAUUGGGUAUUGAAAUACUUCCCAAAGGAAUUUUAUCCUUAAUAUUGCUCUAUGUAGCAUCAUAAGCAAAACAUUUUUUUCUUUGCCCUGGAAGUCCAUCACCAUUAAACAGUGGAAAAUAAAAUUGAAAACCAUCAGUAAUAUUACCAUUCAUAGAUAACAUAAUAUUUUCAUAUCUUUAAAAAAAUAUUGUCUUCUAUUUACUGUUGGAUGUUCUGCCUUUUUGCAGUUGGCAGUCUGGUGGCCUCAUCAGCCUGGGUUUUUGAGCGGGUAUGUUAAUACCACCAUUUCACAUGGCCAUUCUGGAUUCUUUUGUAUCUCAAAAUUAAAAAAUAAUCCCUCACAAGAAAUCCUGUAUUGCAUAUUGACAAAUGCAUAUGGUUAGUCUUUACAAAUAAAAAAGCUGCUUUCUUUUAUUAUUUUUUUUUUUUUUGGUUUUUGACUGGGGCUAGGUUUGAACCCGCCACCUCUGGCAUAUGGGACCAGCGCCCUACUCCUUGAGCCACAGGCACCACCCCAAAAGCUGCUUUCUUAAGGAAAAAAAAAAAGAAAUUCUGUAUUGCCAUGAUAAAUUAUUUUCUUUUUUUUUUUUUGAAGAGACAGAGUUUCAUUUUAUUGCCCUUGGUAGAGUGCCGUGGCGUCACACAGCUCACAGCAACCUCCAACUCCUGGGCUUAGAUGAUUCUCCUGCCUCAGCCUCCCGAGUAGCUGGGACUACAGGUGCCUGCCACAACGCC